GCUUGCUCCCGGAUGUUAGCGGCGGACGGGUGAGUAACACGUGGGUAACCUGCCUGUAAGACUGGGAUAACUCCGGGAAACCGGAGCUAAUACCGGAUAGUUCCUUGAACCGCAUGGUUCAAGGAUGAAAGACGGUUUCGGCUGUCACUUACAGAUGGACCCGCGGCGCAUUAGCUAGUUGGUGGGGUAAUGGCUCACCAAGGCGACGAUGCGUAGCCGACCUGAGAGGGUGAUCGGCCACACUGGGACUGAGACACGGCCCAGACUCCUACGGGAGGCAGCAGUAGGGAAUCUUCCGCAAUGGACGAAAGUCUGACGGAGCAACGCCGCGUGAGUGAUGAAGGUUUUCGGAUCGUAAAGCUCUGUUGUUAGGGAAGAACAAGUGCGAGAGUAACUGCUCGCACCUUGACGGUACCUAACCAGAAAGCCACGGCUAACUACGUGCCAGCAG
rnacentral:rRNA from 1 species